GUGCUCGCUUCGGCAGCACAUAUACUAAAAAUUGGAAUGAUACAGAGAAGAUUAGCAUGGCCCCUGCGCAAGGAUGAUACGCAAAUUCGUGAAGUGUUUCAUAUUUUU
rnacentral:snRNA from 1 species